AAACCAACCCAGCCCAGCCCCAAGGCGGGGGUCCUUUGUCCCUAGUCUCUCCCAACCAGGGUGCGCCGGGCCCUCCCCUCAUGCUCUAGCCUCUCCCACUCUACACACUCUCCCUGGGCCCUGAGUCUCUGUCUGGCCACUGUCCUCUCUCUGUCCCGCCUACAUGACAGCCUUGGGGAGGGAGUGGUCCGUACCUGUCCCUCUUCCCCUACUGGCCGUGCACCCUCCUCUGCCAGCUCCAUUCUGGCUUGUGACCACACUGCCCACCAAGUCACCAGACUCCAAGGACACAGCUCAGCUUUCCCCUGAGCUUGACUCUGAGAUGUGAAUGACCAAAACCAAGUCCACAGUGGCUGCCGGGCACACGCUGCUGCGGAGAGGAGUGGGAGGAGAGACGCCAUCCGCCAUCUGCCAUCCGCAGCUAGCCCGGGCGGCAGCUGCUGCUGCGCAUGCUCGGGGCCUGGGAGCCAGACCGGGUGACCACCUGAACCUGAACACUGAGGGCUUGCCAGGUCCUGCCCCUCAAAUUAUGAAUGAGAACUACAAGGGUCUCCCUGGGUGCCCAGAGCUGCAAUGCAGUUCUCGCCCCUGGCUGUACAUUUGAGUCCCCUAGAAGGCUCCACCCCAGACGUCCGGCCCUUGGCAUUUCUGUACUCCUGGGGCAGCACCAAGGGCCUACAGCUCAGACCCUCUGAGGGGUCUGCAGGGACAGAAAGGAGCUCACAGGAAGAGGCGAGGCCGGCGAAGACCUGGAGGAACGCCAUCUCACUCCUGCCCUUCCUGGGACUGGGCGAGUGUGUGAGGCCCGCACACUUCCAAUCAGUACCCCUUCUGCCAAAACACUUCUGAGUUUGAAUCCUGUCACACAAGCCAAGAGGCCAACACACAGAAUCUGGGACCUGAAAACCGGGCAUCGCACUGAGGGUUCCUGCUCUGCAGCCCUGGCCGAGCCCAGACGGGCCUUGCUUCUACCCCAGGUGACCCAUGAGGUCACGGCAAAGUCCUUGCCUGGAAUGACUGGAGACUAGGCAUGGCAGAUAAGGAGACUGAAUAAGCAAGAAAAAGAAGCUGAAAGUAACGGGAAGCGGGCUUCUCACUGCCAGAGACUAGACUUACGAAGAUGAGAAGCAUCACAACCAGAAUAAGCCCUGUGGUACUGGAGCGGAUGGGAGGUCACAUGGACUUGCUGGAAGGAGAGAGAAAGAGAC